GGCCAGGUGGCGUAGUGGUAGUGUGCUACGUUACUAGAAGCGUUUGUUAUCCAACGUCGUAGGUUCGAAUCCUAUAACGGCUA